rnacentral:rRNA from 1 species
CCUACGGGUGGCUGCAGUGGGGGAUAUUGCACAAUGGAGGAAACUCUGAUGCAGCAACGCCGCGUGAGGGAAGAAGGUCUUCGGAUUGUAAACCUCUGUCCUCAGGGACGAUAAUGACGGUACCUGAGGAGGAAGCUCCGGCUAACUACGUGCCAGCAGCCGCGGUAAUACGUAGGGAGCAAGCGUUGUCCGGAUUUACUGGGUGUAAAGGGUGCGUAGGCGGCCCUGCAAGUCAGGUGUGAAAACUAUGGGCUUAACUCAUAGAUUGCACUUGAAACUGUGGGGCUUGAGUGAAGUAGAGGAAAGCGGAAUUCCACGUGUAGCGGUGAAAUGCGUAGAGAUGUGGAGGAACACCAGUGGCGAAGGCGGCUUUCUGGUCUGUAACUGACGCUGAGGCGCGAAAGCGUGGGGAGCAAACAGGAUUAGAUACCCGUGUAGUC